GUUACCUUCCUUUUAACACACACACACACUCUCUCUCUCUCUCUCUCUCUCUCUCUCUCUGUUCAUCAGUAAAGCAGCAGCUGAGCUCUUUACUCAUUGAACUUGAAAACCUGCUGGAAACGCUUUCACCGGAGCUGCUGCUGCUGAUAACCGACAAACAUGUUCUGCAGACGGGCAUGGCAGAGAGUCGGGCCGCUGGCACGGAAGGCUUUCAAACCGGCAUCCACAAACACGACUCCAGUACGACACAUGGCCUUUGGGGUCCCUGGAGGCUCCAACAACAUGACAUAUUUUGUUUUGUGUGGAGGAGGCCUCACUGCUGCAGUCGUCUAUGCCUACAAGACAGUCAACGGUGAUACUGAGGACAAACUCGCCAACACAGGCUCAGCGGCAAAAGCUCCUGCAGCCGAAGCAGCACCAGAGGCAGCAGCUCCUGCAGCUGAACCUGCUCCAGUGGAGGAAGCUGCACCAGUCGUCGAGGUCGCUGUCGAGUCUGUCGCUGCUGCUGUAGAACCAGUAGCAGAAACCGCCGCCGAACCUGUCGCCGAGGCUGCAUCUGAAGAAGCUCCCGCUGUGGCUGUCGAAGCUGUUGUCGCCGAGCCUGCAGCCGAGCCUGCAGCCACAGAAGAAGCCGCUGCUCCUGCGGCAGCCGUGGAAGCUGCACCUGAAGCCGCUGUGGAAGUCCCUGCUGCUGUGGAAGUCGCUGCCGCUGUGGAGGCACCAGCAGAAGCCCCAACAGCAGAGAGCACUGAGUCUAUGCCAGAUCUGCUCACAGCUGUGAAGAUCUUGGCCAGCUCUCCAGUUGAGAUCGCAGCCGCUUCAGUUGGUGAGACAAGUCUGGUGACAGCUGUCCGACAAAUUGAAAGUGAAGAAAAAGGAGUGGAGUCCACACAGGAGGUGUUGGAACCAGAAGCUCUGGAGGCAACUCCAGAGGUGACAGCUAAAGAGGCAUCAGAGGAGCCAGCUGCUGUAGAAAGCGAAGAGGAGCUGAAGUCUGCAGAGCCUGAGGAGGUGCCUGGAAAUGAUGAAGCAUCGGCUCCAGCUGCAGAAGAAGCGAUAACAGAGGAGACAUCUGCUCCUGCUGCUGCAGAGGAGGAGGAAGCUGCUGCUGCUUCUUCUGAGGAAACUGCUGCAGGCCCCACAGUGGAGGAGGCUGAGGCUGAAGGUCAGGAACUACAGGCAGAAACUGCUCCUGAAGAUGCUGCUCCCACUGAGGAAGCUCCUUCUGUUGCGGAGGUCACCAUUACUGCUGAAGCUGCUCCAGUGGAUGAAACAUCAGCACAGGAGGAAGCAGCUGGUGAAACAUCAGCACAGGAGGAAGCAGCUGGUGAAACAUCACCACAGGAGGAAGCAGCUGGUGAAACAUCACCACAGGAGGAAGCAGUUGGUGAAACAUCAGCAGAGGAGGUAGCAGCUGGUGAAACAUCAGCAGAAGAAGCUCCGGCAGAGGAAGCAGUCAUUGGCGUGACUCAGCUGGCAGCAGCCUCUACUGGCCCGGACCUGGAGGUUCUUUCAGCUGCAGAGCCAGAAUCUCCAGCGCAUGAGGAGGAACAUUGCCACUCCUGCCACUCUGCUCCAGCAGCAGCAGCAGAGGAGGUGGCGCCAUCUGCUGCUUUGGGAGAGAAGCUGGUCACUGAGGGAGCUCUGGAUAUUACACUUGAAGUCAAUGAGGCCACAUCACUGGUGGAGGGACAAGGGACGAUGGCGGUGGCGACAGCCCAGUCGUGACAGCGUGCCUUCCAUAACACUCUUCCUAUCUGUCGAUCAAACCAGGAUGACUGAUGGAAAACACAGGAAAGGAGUAGCUGCAGAUUAACUAUCUAAUGUGCCCUUUCUGAAGCGUUACCACAGAGUUCUGUUUUACUUGUGCAGUCAGUGUUAGCAUGUGUGAAAUGAUUCCAGUGAUUGUCCUCUAGGUGCUGCUGCUGCCAAACCUUUCGUGACCAGCUGAGGUUCUUGCAGUCUGCAGCGGAGUGGAAGUGAUUUGCUGUUGCUGUAAUUUUGUGAUAGGCUGCACACAAGAGAUUAGGUGGGGCUGCACCUACUGUGUAUGUCAUUUACCUGCUUGUGUCAGAUGAGAUUAUAGCCAAGAGAUGUACUUUUUGUCACUUUUUCCUGUAAUACAAGUGCAGGUGCAAAUAUGAGUAUCUUGAAGUACUUCAGAGCAUUACACUUUUAAAAUGUUGCUCAUUUAAAAUGGAUGCAUUUCUAGAUUUUAAAAAAAAAAUCCCAAAAUCCAAAUGAAAAUGUUACACUAAGGUUUUUAAAGCUGAUGUAUGUAAUAGCAAGUCCAGAUUUGGUGCAUGUAUCUUCCUUUUUGAGGUGUUGUUGUUUGAAUUUUACCCUGUACAAUAAAAGAUUUCUAAAUCACAUUUAAGCUCAAACUAAGAUAAAUUCGUUUGAUUGUACUGAACAGCAAUGCUUCCACUUAUCUAAAAGUUGUACAAGGACACAAAUGAUUUACUGUUAAAUGCGGGAAUGAAAAAGUUAUCAGUGCAAUGAAUUCCUGCUGUCAUUGCCGGCUCUCUAUUUUGAUACCAUUAAUUACUGUAUUCAGCAGAACUAUACUAGAAACCAAAACUAAACAAUAUCAAUAAAGUUUAUAUCCACACAUAUGCAAACAUUUGUGUAGAUACAAAUAUUUCCACUUAUAUACAUACAUACUGAGGAAGACAGUGAGAGAAGAUAGAUGUAGAUGUAGAAGCAGAUGGAUACAUUGUUUCAAAUACAGUUGCAUGUGUAUUGUAUAAAUGCCCAUAUAUGCUAUUAAAUUAUGAAUAUAUAGUGUUUAUUUAGUAAAUUGUAAUACAAGCAAAGUCUCUGUUGAUAACGAGCUCAUCUUUUAAAUAAAGUGAUGUGGAAACAAUUAAACUCAGUUUUGCUGUCAUGAAAUUCUGAUCUUCACUUCAAAACUGAUAACUGUGAUUUGAUCAUGUGUCUAACUUGUAUGAUAUUAGCUUUUUAGAAGCUUUUAAUACAACUUGGACAUUAAUGGUGGAAAGUAAGUAAGUACAGUUACUGAAGUACUGCACUAAAGUGCAGCUUUGAGGUACUUGUAUUUACUUGAGUGCUUAAUUUAUAUGCUAUUUUAUUAUGUUUUGUUUACGUAGGAAUUUUUAUGCAGG
ensembl:lncRNA